rnacentral:rRNA from 1 species
GAUGAACGCUAGCUACAGGCUUAACACAUGCAAGUCGAGGGGCAGCAUGAUUGAAGCUUGCUUCAAUCGAUGGCGACCGGCGCACGGGUGAGUAACACGUAUCCAACCUGCCGAUAACUCGGGGAUAGCCUUUCGAAAGAAAGAUUAAUACCCGAUAGUAUAGUAUUUCCGCAUGGUUUCACUAUUAAAGAACUUCGGUUAUCGAUGGGGAUGCGUUCCAUUAGAUAGUUGGCGGGGUAACGGCCCACCAAGUCAACGAUGGAUAGGGGUUCUGAGAGGAAGGUCCCCCACAUUGGAACUGAGACACGGUCCAAACUCCUACGGGAGGCAGCAGUGAGGAAUAUUGGUCAAUGGACGAGAGUCUGAACCAGCCAAGUAGCGUGAAGGAUGACUGCCCUAUGGGUGGUAAACUUCUUUUAUACGGGAAUAAAGUGGAGUAUGCAUACUCCUUUGUAUGUACCGUAUGAAUAAGGAUCGGCUAACUCCGUG